GGUUCUGUAGCUCAGCGGUUAGAGCGCUCGCCUGUUAAGUGAGGGGUCGUAGGUUCAAAUCCUACCAGUUCCGCCA
rnacentral:tRNA from 1 species